rnacentral:misc_RNA from 1 species
AUUUGAACAAUUUUCGUGGAUUGAAAACAAAAAGGAAAAGAAAGAAAACUAGAAAAGCUCAGGAGAGAUACCGCCGGAGUGGAAUCAAAAGGAUAGUAGUGUAGGGUUUGUGAAAGGUUGAAAAGGGAGAUCAGGGUGAGCCAUUGGAGGAGGAAGAAGGAGAAGGUGGGAAUAGAAAUGAGAAGAGAAAAAAGGGUUUAAAAGGAAG